rnacentral:tRNA from 1 species
GGGAGUGGCUGUGGCUCAGUGGAAAAGCGUUUGCUUCACAUGCAGAAGGUCCCAAGUUCUAUCCCUAUCAUUUCCA